AAAAGAGGAAUAGUAUUUCCCUUCCUACUUCCACCCCUGGGGAGUGGUGAGGCUGCCACUCUGGUUGGGCCACCCUGUGUGUUCCUGAGUAAGUGACAUCACUUCUCUGAGCCCAUGUCUUCACUGGUGCAAUGGGGAGAAUAAGGACUGAACCAGCGUGAGGAUUGACUUGAGGAGCUAAUACCCUUUGAAGCAGUGUUAAGCUUCUGCUUAACACUCUGUGCAUUUGGAUCCCAGCUCUGUUGCUCCACGGGUCAGUGAUUGGGCAAUAACACACGGCGGCUUGGAAGAAAGACUACAUUUCCCAGCUUGCUUUGCAGCUAGGUGGAGCCAUGUGACUAAUGUGGCCAAUAGGAUGCGAGCAGAAGUGUAGGCGGUUUUCCCCUUGAUCACUUAAAAGAUAGUGGUGUGUCCGCCCCGUCCCUUUCCCCUUGCCAUUGGUGGAAGGUGCACGUGGUCCCAUCUUGAACAUGUGAAUGAGGGCAACACGAAAUGACUGCAGCUUAACAAGACAGAAGGAACUUGGGUCCGCUAUGCCAAGGAGCCCCAGCCAUUAAUGGUUGAUAUGUAAAUGACUAUAUGAGAGAUAAAUAAACUUCUCUCUCCUUUAA